GUCAUUCAUGCCGUCAAUUCAUUUUGGACGUGGUUUGAUUAAAUCAUAUUAUCAGCGAUAAAUUUCUUUUCACAUAAUUGCAUUUGCAGUGCAUUCAUACAAACGCGAAAACAUAUGUGCAUACGGGAAAAAUGCCACCAGCCAGACGAGCAAAUAUAGGUCGGCGAACGCGUAAUGCAAAUGAUGUGGCAUUACUAAGACGAUCACAGACUGCAGAUGAACGCGCACAAGCUAAUGCAUCGCAGCGUGAACGUAAUGCACGCAAUAGAUUUGUUAACCCAGUACCUGUACUGAAUCUUGCACGGCCAUCACGAAUACGUCGUGCUGUUUUGGCUGAAAUGAUGCGUGCUGCUUUUAAUUACAACAGUCAGAUUGAUUAUAGUAUGUAUGGAUACAUUGGAAUGAUGGACGCAAUAUGUCCACAUUGUGAUGCGGCUAACUUUCGAGGUGAAACACCCGGCAUGUGUUGUGCUAAUGGCAAAGUGAGAUUGCCAGCAUUAGAAACUCCACCCGAACCAUUGUAUUCAUUUAUUUUUGGGACAUCGCAAGCGUCGAAGCACUUUCUGAGUCAUAUUCAACAAUACAAUUCGGCAUUUCAAAUGACUUCUUUUGGUGCAACUAAAAUUAUUAGAGAUAAUUUUAUGCCGACGUUUAAGGUAAAUACUUCAACAGGAUUAUUCCAUGUUUGUAUCAAUCUGAAGCAUAAAGUAUAUUUAA